AAAUGAAAAGAUUAAGUGAAGAGGAUUUUCAGCCCAAUCACGGCUGUUUUACAGCCAAGAUUCCAGCUCAGCCAUUCAUUGCCUUUCCUUUUAUUCUUUUUUCAAUUUACUAUAAAUUGGGCAUAUGUAUGUUUAUUCAAGCAUGAACUCAGUAAUCAAAAACAUUUUUUAUCUCUAUACCUGUUGUUAUGGUAUCAGAGCAGUGUUUCUGAUUCCUGAACACUUUGCUCAUCAUCUACAAUCUAUCCCAGCCAAUCCAACCUCAAACCAGAAAACUCAAAAAUCAAAAUCAAACCCCGGAAAAAUCAACAAACAUCCGCUGCAUCUGCUUCACAACCGUACAAGCCCACACUUCACAACCGUACAAGCCCACACUCCUCUUCUCCUCUCUAACCUCCGGUCGCCGGAGACCCACUCCGACCAACAGCAGAUUCCGACCGCACCUCAGACCAAACGAUACCCCCUCUUCCUCACCAUCUGCUUUCACCCACAAUCCGUGAAGCCUUUCCUCUUCUUCACCCACCUCCUCAAACAAUUAGACACCACAUCCGACAACGACAGCCGGUGGCUCCGCCUCUCUCCGCUGCCGCCGCCGCCGCUGCUGUUAGUACCAUUCUCAUCUUUCAUCUUUUUUUCAACUUUAGCCCUCAAAAUUCAAAAUAUUCCUUCAAGGAUCGACGUAGGUUCUUCAAAAAGAUAAGAGAUUUCAUAAGAUUUGAUGUGGGUAUGUCAAAAGAUUACAGAUCUUUCAAGAUUUGAUGUGGGUUUUUCGAAAGAUUACAGAUUUCACAAGAUUUGCUGUUGUCUUGUGGUGGAUAAGGACAUCAGAACUGGAAAGAUAAUUGGGCGUGGCACUGAACGACAUGGCUUAUACUAUGUGGAUGAGGUGACUCAGUCAGGGACUGCGAUGCUCGCUCACGGAACAAAGAGUAGAGAAGCAUGGCUUUGGCAUAGGAGAUUAGGGCAUCCUUCUGCCGGGUAUCUACAUCUUUUACUCCCUACACUUUUCCCGUCAAACAGUAAAUUAGACUGUGAAACAUGUGCCUUAGCCAAAAGCCAUAAAAAACCUUUCAAACCAAGUAACACUAGGGUCAGUGAACCCUUUUCACUAAUACAUUCUGAUGUUUGGGGUCCAGCUGAAACGAAUGGAGGUCAAAAUCUUCGUUUCUUCCUAUUAUUUGUUGAUGACUGUACCCGGAUGACAUGGGUAUAUUUUUUAAAACACAAAUCUGAAGUUUUCGACAAAUUUAAACUGUUUUACACCAUGGUCCAAACUCAAUUUAAAACCAACAUUCAGAUCUUAAGAUCUGAUAAUGGAGGGGAGUACGUUAAUACCUCCAUGAAACAAUUUAUUCAAGAGAAGGGAAUGAUUCACCAAACCACUUGCCCAAAACACCCAGAACAAAAUGGUGUAGUUGAGCGGAAAAAUGGCAUUUUGGUAGAAAUGGCCCGAGCCCUUAUGCUUGAAUCCAAAGUCCCUAAAUCUUUUUGGCCCGAAGCUAUAAACACAGCUGUGUAUCUCCUUAACCGUUUACCAACCAAAGCCCUUGACCUAAAAACUCCCCUAGAUACCUUAUCCACAUUCACCAAACUACCCCCACCUCUUACCUUACCACCUCGUGUCUUUGGGUGUACCGUGUUUCCCCAUAUACCCAAAACCGAACGAUCCAAACUUGAUCCAUGUGCCGAAAAAUGUGUCUUUGUUGGUUAUGGGGUGAAUCAGAAAGGAUACCGAUGUUAUAACCCAUCACGACGUCGUGUGAUUACGACUGUCCACUGCGACUUUCUUGAAACAGAAUAUUACUAUCAGUCCCACCUCAGUGGUCAGGGGGAGAUAGAACAUGAAGACUCACUGAGUUGGUUGAAGUUGAUUCCAUUUGCAAGCGAAGAUGAGUCAUCUCAUACAUCCACACAUACUAAGCCUGUCGAAAGUCUCACCCAAGAAUCAUCCAGACUGGUGUUCGAGGUAAGUGAUUCUCCAAACCUUGGAAAUGUGCCUGAAUCUAAUGCAGAUACCACUAAUAAUCAGGAAAGUCUCGAGACAAUGGAACAGGUGGAGGUUGCUGAGCAAAACAACGCAGUCCAAGGAGAAAUCGAAUCUAAUGAACAACAUGACGGAGGCUCUGGAACAACACCGGGAACAUACGUUUUACCUCCUAGAACCAAUAGAGGGGUUCCUCCGAAACGGUACUCCCCAGAAAGGGAAACCAGAAAUUCAAGGUAUCCUACAGCCAAUAUGGUUGACGGGAACUUAUCUAACAGUGCGAAAGCAUUUGUUACCUCACUAUACUCCGAACAAAUACCGAGUUCCGUGAAGGAAGCCCAGAGUAAGAAGAAUUGGAAGGAAGCAAUGGAAACGGAGAUGCGUGCUCUUAUGAAAAACAACACGUGGGAGAAGUGCGUUCUUCCUAAAGGAAAGAAAACUGUUGGAUGUCGGUGGGUGUAUUCAAUCAAAUAUAAACCAGAUGGUUCCAUUGGAAGAUACAAAGCUCGGCUCGUUGCCAAGGGUUACACUCAGACGUAUGGGAUCGAUUACUCUGAGACGUUCUCUCCAGUUGCAAAAAUGGACACCAUCAGAGUCCUCUUCUCUGUGGCAGCCAAUAAGGAGUGGCCUCUCCACCAGUUUGAUGUUACAAACGCAUUUCUCCAUGGAGACCUAACAGAAGAGGUUUACAUGGAAGCACCUCCAGGCUUCUCAGGGAGUUUUAAAGAAAGGGAAGUAUGUCGGUUGAAAAAAUCAUUAUACGGGCUAAAACAAUCUCCUCGGGCAUGGUUUGGAAAGUUCACUUUGGCCAUGAAAGAAUACGGGUAUCACCAAAGUAAUGCUGAUCAUACUUUGUUCCUCAAGAGAAGAAACGGCCUUGUAACUUGCUUGAUCAUAUAUGUUGACGACAUGAUUAUUACCGGAAAUGAUGUAGAAGAAAUAGCACAACUGAAAGAGAAUCUGUUUUCAAAAUUUGAAAUGAAAGAUCUAGGGAAUCUCAAGUAUUUCCUCGGGAUUGAAGUUCUUAGGUCUAAACGAGGGAUCUUCAUUUGCCAAAGAAAGUAUGUCCUUGAUCUUCUGGCGGAAACCGGGUUGAUUGAUUGUAAACCCGCAGAUACUCCAAUGGUGGUGAACCACAACCUUCACAUGGAACUUAAUGGGGAGCUUGCGGACAAAGAAAGGUAUCAACGGCUCGUGGGCAAGCUAAUUUAUCUCUCUCACACUCGUCCUGAUAUAGCGUAUGCGGUUGGAGUAGUAAGUCAGUUCAUGCACCAACCACAAGUUGCCCACAUGGAAGCUGCUCAGAGAAUUUUAAAGUAUCUCAAGGGGACCGUAGGCCAUGGAGUGUUGUUCAAAACAAAUGGACAUCUGAAUGUUGAGCUCUACACUGAUGCAGACUGGGCAGGAGAUAAGGGGAAUCGAAGGUCAACAUCAGGAUACUUCUCCUUGGUCGGUGGAAACCUGGUUACCUGGAGAAGUAAGAAACAGAAGGUGGUUGCUCUGUCGAGUGCAGAAGCGGAAUUUAGAGGUAUAGCUCGGGGGUUAAGCGAAGUUCUUUGGAUCAGGAAGCUACUAGAAGACAUUGGUUUUUUCCAAAAGGAACCCAGUAAGGUUAUGUGUGAUAAUACGGCUGCAAUACAAAUCUCAGAAAACCCAGUACAACAUGAUCGAACAAAACACGUGGAGGUAGACCGACAUUUCAUUAAAGAGAAACUGGAGGAAAGAAUCAUAGAGCUCCCAUAUGUAUCGUCAAAAGAUCAACUCGCAGAUAUUCUUACAAAGGCCGUCAACGGAAAUGCUUUUAGUAGCUGCUUGAGCAAGUUAAGUAUUGGUGACCCCACUACUCAACUUGAGGGGGAGUGUCGGAAAUGAAAAGAUUAAGUGAAGAGGAUUUUCAGCCCAAUCACGGCUGUUUUACAGCCAAGAUUCCAGCUCAGCCAUUCAUUGCCUUUCCUUUUAUUCUUUUUUCAAUUUACUAUAAAUUGGGCAUAUGUAUGUUUAUUCAAGCAUGAACUCAGUAAUCAAAAACAUUUUUUAUCUCUAUACCUGUUGUUAUAUUUCACUUUAUAAAAUACCUACACGCCCUUCAUUCAAUCCCACACAUUUUCUUCUUUCAAAAAAAAUGGCUUUAACUCUUCGUUCUUCCACAUCUUUUAUAAGUUCAAAAGAUAUCAAGACACUAAAAUCCCUAGAAGAUUUCCCCGGCACCGUUUGUUUCGCUCAUAUCAAGCCUACACCACGUCGUUUGAGAGCGAAAAACUCGUUACAAGAUGCCCAUAUCACACGUGAAAAUAUCACAUCACCUUUUGAAGGGAUGUUUGAUGAACAAAAGGAAAAGUUUCACGCCUUAUCGAGCAGCCACCAUACGAAAAACGACUCGAGGGUCCCGGUCUAUGUGAUGCUGCCUCUUGAUACGGUGACUUUAGGUGGCCACUUGAACAAACCAAAGGCGAUGAAUGCGAGUUUGAUGGCGUUGAAAAGUGCAGGGGUUGAAGGUGUAAUGGUUGAUGUUUGGUGGGGUCUUGUUGAAAAAGAUGGACCUAUGAAGUACAAUUGGGAAGGUUAUGUUGAGCUUGUGAAUAUGGUGCAAAAACAUGGAUUAAAGCUUCAAGCUGUUAUGUCUUUUCAUCAGUGUGGUGGCAAUGUUGGUGACUCUUGCAGCAUCCCGUUACCACCAUGGGUUCUUGAAGAGAUCAGCGGAAACCCGGAUGUUGUGUACACCGAUAGAUCGGGCCGGAGAAACCCCGAGUACAUCUCCUUAGGUUGCGAUUCAUUGCCGGUGCUUCGGGGAAGAACACCCAUUCAAGUUUAUUCCGAUUACAUGAGAAGUUUCCAACAAAAAUUCAAGAAUUAUUUGGGAAACGUUAUUGUGGAAAUUCAAGUGGGCCUGGGUCCUUGUGGGGAGCUGAGGUAUCCAUCUUAUCCAGAAAGUAAUGGAACAUGGAGGUUUCCUGGAAUAGGAGAAUUCCAAUGUUAUGACAAGUAUAUGAAAGCAUCACUGGAAGCAGCAGCAGAAGCAACCGGACAAAAAGACUGGGGAAAAUCCGGUCCACAUGAUUCCGGCCACUACAACCAGUUCCCGGAGGACACCGGAUUCUUCAAACGAGACGGCACAUGGGACACUGAAUACGGCCGUUUCUUCAUGCAAUGGUACUCCGGCAAACUUGUACAACAUGGCGACCGAAUCCUCAACUCCGCCAACGCCAUUUUCACCGGAACCGGAGCUAAACUCUCAGCCAAAGUCGCCGGAAUCCACUGGCACUACAAAACCCGAUCACACGCAGCCGAGUUAACCGCCGGAUAUUACAACACACGUAAUUCCGAUGGGUAUUUACCCAUCGCCAGAAUGUUGGCGAAACACGACGCCAUUUUAAACUUCACGUGCAUGGAAAUGAGAGACCAUGAACAGCCACAGCAUGCAGAGUGUUCGCCGGAGGGGUUAGUCCGGCAGGUGAAGAUGGCUGUCCAAGCUGCCGGAGUUGAGUUGGCCGGAGAAAAUGCAUUGGAAAGAUAUGAUGGUGCGGCUUAUAAGCAAGUUCAAGAGACUAGUCGGUCGGAUUCGGGUAACGGGUUGUGUGCAUUCACGUUUUUGAGGAUGAACAAGCGGUUGUUCGAGGCGGAGAACUGGCGGGAGUUGGUGAACUUUGUGAGGAGUAUGUCGGAAGGGGGGCGGGUGCGGUUGCCGGAGAGGACGGAUUUGUAUGUCCGGUUUGUUGAUGAUAAGAAGAUGAAGAAGGAAAGUUUGAAGGGUGAUAAGGAGGUUGUGUUGGUGUAGAUAUGUGUAAAGGAUGAUUAUUGAUUAGUGAAGUAUAUAGUGUCACAAACAUGAUAUUUAGUAUAAGGAAAUGUAAGUAUGUGAUGUUACAAUAGCGACGAUAUGUCGCCGCUAUUACCAAUAGCAGCGACGAUCUGGAUUAUUAGCGGCGACAACCGUCGCCUCUAUUGCCCGUUUUCUUGUGGUGUUUAAAAAGGUGACUUGUGCUAUUAUUAUUCUUUUUGAUACAUGAUGAAUUAUAUAAUGGAAGUCAUGUAUUGUUUCAUUA